CGCGGGGUGGAGCAGCUUGGUAGCUCGUCGGGCCCAUAACCCGAAGGUCGUCGGUUCCUAUCCGGCUCCCGCAACCA
rnacentral:tRNA from 1 species